rnacentral:rRNA from 1 species
CCUACGGGUGGCAGCAGUGAGGAAUAUUGGUCAAUGGGCGGAAGCCUGAACCAGCCAAGUAGCGUGCAGGAUGACGGCCCUACGGGUUGUAAACUGCUUUUAUACGGGAAUAAAGCGUCUUACGUGUAGGGCUUUGCAUGUACCGUAUGAAUAAGGCACGGCUAAUUCCGUGCCAGCAGCCGCGGUAAUACGGAAGGUCCGGUGGUUAUGCGGAUUUAUUGGGUUUAAAGGGAGAGUAGGCGGCAUGUCAAGCGUGCUGUGAAAUGUCCGGGCUCAACCCGGGACUUGCAGCGCGAACUGGCGUGCUGGAGUCCGCGGAAGGCAGGCGGAAUUCGUGGUGUAGCGGUGAAAUGCGUAGAUAUGACGAAGAACACCGAUUGCGAAGGCAGCUUGCUGCAGCGGAACUGACGCUGAUGCUCGAAAGCGCGGGUAUCGAACAGGAUUAGAUACCCGAGUAGUC